UACGGAGGGUGCAAGCGUUAUCCGGAUUCACUGGGUUUAAAGGGUGCGUAGGCGGGCAGGUAAGUCAGUGGUGAAAUCCCCGAGCUCAACUUGGGAAUUGCCGUUGAUACUAUCUGUCUUGAAUAUCGUGGAGGUGAGCGGAAUAUGUCAUGUAGCGGUGAAAUGCUUAGAUAUGACAUAGAAUACCCAUUGCGAAGGCAGCUCACUACACGAUAAUUGGCGCUGAGGCACGAAAGCGUGGGGAGCAAACAGG
rnacentral:rRNA from 1 species